GCGGGGGUAGCCAAGUCUGGCCAAAGGCGACGGGCUUAAGACCCGUUCCCGUAGGGGUUCGUGGGUUCGAAUCCCACCCCCCGCA
rnacentral:tRNA from 1 species